rnacentral:rRNA from 1 species
AGAAUGAACGCUAGCGAUAUGCUUAACACAUGCAAGUUGAACGUUGUUUUCGAAUCAGAAUGAGAACAAAGUAGCGAACGGGUGCGUAACACGUGGGAAUCUGCCAAACAGUUUGGGCCAAAUCCCGAAUGAAUAAAAGCUAAAAAGCGCUGUUUGAUGAGCCCACGUAGUAUUAGGUAGUUGGUUAGGUAAAAGCUGACCAAGCCUACGAUGCUUAGCUGGUCUUUUCGGAUGAUCAGCCACACUGGGACUGAGACACGGCCCAGACUCCUACGGGAGGCAGCAGUGGGGAAUCUUGGACAAUGGGCGAAAGCCUGAUCCGGCAAUAUGGCGUGAGUGAAGAAGGGCAACGCAGCUUGUAAAGCUUCUUUUGUGCGGGAAGAUAAUGGACGGUACCGCAAGAAUAAGCCCCGGCUAACUUCGUGCCAGCAGCCG